rnacentral:snRNA from 1 species
UCACUUCAGCAGCACAUAUACUAUGAUUGGAAUGAUACAGAGAAGAUUAGCAUGGCCCCUGGGCAAAUUCAUGAAGUGUUCCAUAAUUUU